AAGUUAGUGUUUAAACAUGGAUGUCUGAACAGGGCUUCCCAACCCCACAUUAGGAUAUUCAGAUCAGCACUGAGGCACCUGGAUCAAGCAUUUUACGGACCUCAGUGCUGAUUGGAGCAUCCAGAUGUGGGGUUUAGAUGUCCUCUUUAGACACAACUUUUAAACGCUGGGUCCUGUGGCUCCAGACUUUUCCCUCUGGAAGAUGAAGAGAGAGAAGUGGAAUGAAACCCUGGCUUCCUACUGCCCCAUCUGAGCUACUGAGACAUAAAGAGUGAAAGAUUCUCUUCCAGUUGUGAAGUGCUGCCCACUGACAGGAGAGAUGUCACCUUGCACCGUUCCAUGCAGGGUGGAGAGAGAGCCUGCCACGGUCUGUCCCCCACCACCUUGCACAGAGGUGAUGAUUCCACCACUUGGCGAGAAACUCAGCAGCAUCCACUCCAGGCUGCCUCCGAGGGUGCCCCCGUGCCACAAAGCUGAUUCCAGGAGAAGAAAGAGCCACAGGGUUUUAAACCCAGAGGCUAAAGCUUCCUAGCAGUGCUGAAGAAAAGCUGAUUCUAUAUUCCAGAUAAAUGCUGAGUUAAAACUUUUGCUCACAUUGAGAAUGUUGGACAAAUCAGAAAUGGCUACAAUGUCAUACAACAGUUUGGCUAGUUGUGAUUGUUAACCACUUUACAUGAAAUAUGCCCCACUGUGUAAUACAAAGCCUUUCAGGUUUUCAUCUUUCCCCUUGAUAGUGUGUGGAUUGUUUUAGUUACAUAGGAUAAAUACUUAUUGCAAACCCACAUAUAUAGAAAAUCCAGAUAAUGGGUCAGAUCCUCAGCUGGUAUAAAUUGGCAUAGUUCCAUUGACUUCAGUGGAACUACUUCUAUGCAUAGAAAUCAUUUUGUCCAUUCUUGCAAUCUCCUAACUCUCAAUCAAAGUUGUCAUUCUUUUUACAUGGAAAAAAAAUCAAUCCCCAUGAUUCUGGCAUAAAAGCCUACACAGGUGCAAAUUCUCAUAAGUAAGAAAGACGAGAAUCACUGAGCCUGAUUCUCCACUGCCUUGCUCUUUGUACGCUCAUUUAUACCUUUACCUCAUUGGGUGUAAGACACUAUCUGGUCAAAAUGGUUGCGAUUUAAACUCACGUGGUAUAGGUGUGACUGACUACAAGAUGGUAAAGAAUCAGAUCCAGUGCCUAGGAAUGUUAUCAAAACCCACCUGGAUGCCAAAUUUAAUUUUUACUUUGUUUGAUUGUUACAGGUUACUGGGGAAAAUACAAAUUCUGCUGUCAAUUAUGCUGAUGUAAAUUUGGAAUAAGGGCCAAAUUCUGAUUUCAUUUACACCAGUGUAAAUGGAGAUCAGCUGAAAUCAGUUGUUACUUUGGAUUUAAACUACUGAAAUUCAUAGCAGAAUUCUAUCUUUUACAGCAGAUGUACAGAAGCACCUGCAAAUAAAAAUGUGAUUCCUGCUUUAGCUUA